AAGAUUCUAGUAAAAUGUAUUACACUGCCUUGUCAAGGCAAAAUUGUAAGUUCAAGUCUUACGAGUCCUA
rnacentral:tRNA from 1 species